GUCUAAUCUCUAAUUGACAUAAUAUUCGAUUGUCAUAGAAAAAAAAAAUUCUUUUUACCUCAAAAAUCUAUUUAAUGUUCCUUAACACUCGUUCUAAAAUGACAAGUUUAAUUAUUACAGCUGCUGUAAGAAGAGGCUACAAAUUGAUCCGCCACCACAUGCGAUAUAGCCUACUAGCCGGGACUCCUUUAUGUAUACAGACGUGACAUAAUGACGCAAAGACGAACGGCGGCAAACUAGCAUUUCCCGCGAAAACCGACCCAAACCCGAAUCAGAAAACAUUUUUACAAGCUUACCUUUGUGAAUCGGGGGCUAAGGUGAGGAGAUAGUUUUGAACACUGAUUGGCUAUGUACUUGCUCAUUAACUGAUUUUGGAUCAUUUUUAACCAAAAAAAAAGAGUUACUGAAUGCAGCUUUAAAGUGCCUCUUAAUAUUGUAAAGUGUCAACAUGUAAGGUCUGGGGAAAGACAAUCAGCAUGACACCGUGAGUUCAUCCAGUUCAGCCCUUCAACUUAUGUGACCUCUUUGUGGAGACAAAUAUUCAUGCAGUAACACUUCACAGCACUGCUGUGUUUCCAGUCAGUCUCUUGAGGUCUGAAAGUACGAUAUCUUUUUCUCUCCUGUAUGUGCAUCAUCUGAUCACUCUGAGGUCCAUCUUCAUCGUGUUGACAGACAGUGAGUCGGACCAGAACAGAAAACCUACAGAGACUCAACGACACGGAGACAGACCUCCAGAGACACUCAGCACUGAGACCAGGAGAAGCUCAGGAAGAUGAAAACCAGGACAGACAGGAGAGGAGGAGACGCUGCUGUCGUACCGGGAGGCCACAGCUGGAGACAGAGAAAGAGGAUGAGGAUGAUGAAACAGUGUAGUUAACCAAUGGACAGAAAGUAGAGACAUUCUCAGAACUGCAUCUAUCCUGCUACAUUCAUUCAGUGUAUUUUGUCUUCCUAAACUUAAAUCUGAACGUCACCUGCACUCACCCACACACGCUCGGCCGUCUCUGCUGGGCUUGUAGCCCUCAACACAUCUCUUCUUAGAGCUGCACUUAUAGUGUCCGUAUGUGUUGGUGCACACCGGACGAGUGUGAGGACACACGGCUGGCAGACGCCUGCACUCGUUUACGUCUCAACAGCAUGAAGGAAAUGGAGACAGAAUCACACUCACAGACUGGGCGCUCCCUCACGAUUGCUUUAUUAGUAUUGCACACCAUUCCAAUUUUGAGUAAACAAGUUCUAAAAAAAA